UGAAGCCAAGUCCAGCUUUGUUGUUGUCAAUUCUGUAACCAUGCUUCUUCAAUUUCUUUUGAGUCUCAGUAAGGUCAUGUUCUUUGUCGUUGACAAUGUUUGAAACCUUCUUUUCAGGAUUCGAAGAAGAAGCAAAGUCAUACCCAGCCUUCUACAUGAGUUUGUAGGCGUUUGGAUCAAAACCUUCUUCGAUCCUCUUGGUCGGAAGAAAGCUUGGUUCCACCCCUUUUGGCACAUCUUUUAUGAAGCCUUGUGGUAGUCAUGCAACCUUAGCGUCGCCUAGCUGUGUCAGAGGCAAAAUUACAUUCGUGUUGAGCAACUUUACG
rnacentral:lncRNA from 1 species